UUGUGGUUCCAGUGUUCUUUCCUUGUUUUUCAGUUGCAAGUUUCAGUCGCACUAGGGCCACUCGUAGGACCUGGACAGCCCAUCAUGAAGAGGAUAGCGUAGCCGAACAACGUAGACGAGGGACAAACAAGGAAGUGAUGAUUGUCUAGUUUUUUUUUUUGUUUUUCCGUUUUUGCUAAACAUGGCAACUUCUCAGAUAGAUAUCUCAGAGGACAACCCGUUACGUGUAUUUCGGGGUGCUGCAAAGGAACUUGAUUUCAAAUACAGACUCCCAAAUGUGGUAGCAUUAUAGUUUCCGUUCACCUUAUACGUGUACAUCUAGUCCCAAUUAUUACGGUAUUACAGUUUCUGAAUAUCAACAUCAGUUAUGUACCCACGCAAGUAUGUCGGCUGUACACGCCAAGGUCAAAGCAACAGCCUUUACCAUACCGUUCACCCCACACUGAAAGAGAUCGCGGCCAAAAUCACCGAACACAGCCUCUGCAUGCUUUGGAGAUACCUCUAGUCAGAUGAUUCCAUCCUUAACCCUAACUUCUCCUGAACGCUGCUCUUUGGGACCACACGUCAGCACGUGCGACUCAUGCUCACUCGCCUCCAGAACAGCUCCAUGUUUGCUCUGAGUACUACAGAGAACAGGUUUUACAGCUCUGUGAAGUAUUGCAAACAACAUGGAAGACAGUAAACCCCACUUUGUCGUCUACAGGAUUGAAUAAUAAAAAUGAAAAACAUGCGCAUA